rnacentral:rRNA from 1 species
AUUGAACGCUGGCGGCAUGCUUUACACAUGCAAGUCGAACGGCAGCGGGGGCUUCGGCCUGCCGGCGAGUGGCGAACGGGUGAGUAAUGCAUCGGAACGUGCCCAUGUCGUGGGGGAUAACUACGCGAAAGCGUGGCUAAUACCGCAUACGCCCUGAGGGGGAAAGCGGGGGAUCGUUAGGGACCUCGCGCGAUUGGAGCGGGCGAUGUCGGAUUAGCUAGUUGGUGGGGGAAAGGCUCACAAAGGCGACGAUCCGUAGCUGGUCUGAGAGGAUGAUCAGCCACCCUGGGACUGAGACACGGCCCAGACUCCUACGGGAGGCAGCAGUGGGGAAUUUUGGACAAUGGGCGCAAGCCUGAUCCAGCCAUGCCGCGUGAGUGAAGAAGGCCUUCGGGUUGUAAAGCUCUUUCGGCCGGGAAGAAAUCGCAUUCUCUAAUAUAGGAUGUGGAUGACGGUACCGGACUAAGAAGCACCGGCUAACUACGUGCCAGCCGCCGCGGUAA